rnacentral:rRNA from 1 species
UACGAAGGGUGCAAGCGUUAAUCGGAAUUACUGGGCGUAAAGGGUGCGUAGGCGGUUGUUUAAGUCUGUCGUGAAAUCCCCGGGCUCAACCUGGGAAUGGCGAUGAAGACUGUAAGGCUAGAGUGUGUCAGAGGGGGGUAGAAUUCCACGUGUAGCAGUGAAAUGCGUAGAUAUGUGGAGGAACACCGAUGGCGAAGGCAGCCCCCUGGGAUAACACUGACGCUCAUGCACGAAAGCGUGGGGAGCAAACAGG